rnacentral:lncRNA from 1 species
AAUCUCUGUUGAGCAGAGAGAAAGCUUGUGGCACUAUAUGGGAAGGAGGUACAUCACCACAACCACACUGCACUUCUGCUCACCAACAGCCUACACAUAAUGCACGAGAGCCUCUUCCAGCUGCCGUUUGUGAGUACACUGCGUUCUUGGGUCACAAACAUCCAUGCUCUACUGGGUUUUUCACAACAUGCUCUCGACUAUCUGAAGAAGAAGUGUACAUCUGGAGAUGAGACCUUUCAGGUUGCUGCUACUGUAAUCAACAUGUAGAAUAUGAUCGAGGUCUCAAGCGAGCAUUCGGAUAUGUUGACUUGGGUGUCUUGUCUGAAGAAGACAGUGAAGAGAUAGCUAGUUCAUCAGUGCUAGUUUCAACAGGGAUCAACUUCAGGCCUAACUUCAACCAUCCUGCACAUCCAGGCACAUCAGUCUAUGCGUUCUUGAUCCACCUCAUGAUCAAGCUCAUCAGGAACCUCCUGCACAAGUUUAAGGCAGUGAAGUGGCCUGACCAAGAAGUCAUGUAGUGGGAAAUGCUUGAGCGUCUUAACAACCCUUCAAGCGAUUCAUCAACGUCAACUGGCUAACAAAGUCACCGAGAGGUGAGUUGAUUAUGCAACUAUUUCUUAUGCACACACACAGUUUUAGAAAGCUGUAAACCGGUAAGGAAUUUGUUUCAUGUAAGUAUAUGAGGCUGCUUUUAAAAAUUUGCGAGUGCAAGUAGUUAUUUGUUGUGAAAAAAAUCCCAUUCCAGUGGUUUAGAUUUUAUAAUGAAAUAAAUGCAGUAGGAAAAAAAAAAACAACUACUCUACCAGUCCAAGAAAAUUGGGCCAUGCCCAUUGACUAAAUGUUGUCCUUAAAAAGCAUGUCUAUUGACAUGGCAUACUUUAAAUGUUCUUAAAGGAGUGAUAAUCCAGGCUUGCAGUAAAACAAAUCCUGAAAAUUAAAUUUGUCAAAUUCACCAUAGUAAUUUUAAAAUAAUUACUUUUUUCUUUUUUCAUUGAUUUUUUUAUUUACCUGACCCACUUAGCCAAUGACAAGCAAAAAUCGAAAUAAAUUAUGGUGUGCAACCUUGUCUUGCAAAAAUAAAACAAUCCACAGAAUCCAAAUUCCAUCCUUUAAAGAGAUGUAUUUGGAAACUGCAUAAGCCUGAAGUCCGUGGGGAAUAGGAAAGGACAGUCAAGGAGUUAUUAGGUCCUUUUGUACACUUGCAGACUUGGUGGUUAAUGCUGAUGUUGAUACCGAUUUUACCGGGAAUGGCAUCAAAUUCCUGUUUGCUUGACUGCUUUCUGAUGCUGUCUGUUGUAUGAAUAAAAAGGUGGUGGUGGAAAAUUUAGUAUAACCUGCAAAUGUUUACAGUUCUAUAAGGUUUUGACCCCGACAAACCAGAAUCUAUUUUCCAAGGUUUAUCAAAACCAUGACUUAUAAAUCAUGCUGGCACGUUCAUUGAUUUGUAAAUCACAAAUGUAGGCAAUUCAUCAUAAUCAAUGUUUGUAAACCAUGAUGUUUUGGAAGAUCAUUAUAAUGGUUGACAAGCCAUGGAAAUGUGUAUCAAUUAAUGAUUUAUAAACAAUGACAAUCCUGAAUCUAACACAAAUUAUAUGGUCAAGCAAAAAAAACGAGACAUCAAAGAGAGGUAAAAUUGACCAUGGGACCAAGUUUCCAAUUUUAGGAAUUGGGACAAAUGUUGCCUAAUUGCCUCUGUGUAGUUUUUAGCAAGUAAACAAGGUUCUAAACACUUUCUUGUGAUCACUUUGUAAACAUUUUGAGUAUGAGGUGAUAACAAGAAAGUGUAAACACUUUGUGAUUACUUGCUAAACAGAUUUCUUACAGGACCGGCAAAUAUCCAAAAAAGGCUGCAAAACAACGAAAUCUUCGCCUCCGCAUUGACGCUAUGCAACCCGGUGAUACACAAAAGCGACUCAAACAAGAACGGAAUACCAUCCUCCACUCCAUGCGCAAACGUGCCGAAGUCAAUGGCUCUGCACGACUAGACGAACUUGCGGCAGAGGUUGAACGCCUCCAUGAUGGUGCACAGAUGUUCCGUGCAGUACGACUACUCUACCGCCAGCCCUACAUCCCUCCUGUGAUUCACAACGAACAUAGCCAAACCGUAAAUGACGCAACAGAAACUGGUAAAAUAAUUACAGAGUACUUCAGCGACUAAUUCUGCGGUGAUGUCUCCACGGGCGUGUCUCCUUUUCAAGGAGAGCGCCGUCCAAUGCAAACCCCCGUACAGCCUGCAGAGGUGAAGGAAAGCUAUGAAGAAACUUAACAAUGAUCGUUCCUGUGGCUGGGACUCCAUGCCUGGCGAGCUGCUCUAAAUACGCUGCAGACACCUUGGCACAACCAACAGCUGACAUCUUCAACCAAGCACUGGAGGCACAUCAACCACUUAGCGCAC